UCCCCCAGUAUUUCACCUUUAUGUUUUCUCCCUCACUCCCUGCCUUCAUCUCCUUCCAUACUCAGCCACCGAAAUGCCAACUACUGCCAUUCUCUCCAUCUCCUUCCAUACGUUCGUAGAAACUCUGAAUUCGGACGAUGGAUCCCCCAUUUCUAGGGUUUCCAGUUCAAUUUUCACUCGCAUACUAAAGUGAUUUGAAUUUAUUUCAACCCUCUCUCAUAUGAAAAGCAAGAAAUACGCGGUCUAAGUUCGCCACGAUUCUAGAUUGUUUGAACUCCUAUCUCUAUUCUUGUUUUCUCUCCUUUUUAGAUCUUAAACCAUAAUUCCCUAAUCCUUCUCGCUCUUCUUUGAAAUCAACAAUUAGGGAGGAUUUUUGGCAAAGUUAAAUCAAGAGGAAGAGAAGGGCGAAGAUGUUCGACAUUCAGAAAUGACCAAGCAAACCACUGCUGUUCCCAUGCUGCUGUUCCGGAGCAUGUCAAAGACGAAUUAAUUGAGCUCCUGCUGAUGCUAUUAGAGAUGCGUUUAAAUUGGAGUUUAAUGAUGAAUGUAAUUCGGUAUAUUAAUCUUUGGCUUCCUAUGUCAACGUAUCUAGGUGGUACAAACAUAUCGAUGCACUUUUGAGGAUCUCUGGUGUGUCUGGUGAGGGAUCAGGUGUUACUGUUGAAGGUAAUGCUCCUGCUUCUGAUGUCGCUACACCUCCAGCAGCUGACUCUAAGACUUCAGCUGCUGAUGAUGACGACGAUGAUGUUGAUCUUUUUGGGGAAGAGACUGAAGAGGAGAAGAAGGCUGCUGAAGAACGAGCGGCGGCUGCUGCUGCUAAGCCCGCUAAGAAGAAAGAAUAGGUUGUUGUGGUGUCUUGAGGAGCAGGUUUUGAAUCAAUCUGAUGGUGAUGAUGUUUUUAGGGUGUGACAAUGAUGAAGAAGCUAUUGCAAGGAUGGAAGAAUCACCAUCAGGCAAAAGGGUGACUGGGUGACAAGCAUCUUUCUUUAGUUUAGAUUUAUAGUUCUUACCUGUUUUUCACGGAACUUUUUGUAGAAUACUAAUGGUGUCGUGAAGGCAUAUAAGAUUUUUUUUGCAAUUAUUAGCUAGUUGUUUAUACUUGUGUCAUGGCAUAUUAAUUUUUUAUUUGAUUAAUAAAAUUUCACUUUAUAUCC